UUCAAGGAAAAUUGGAUUCCUGCGGAGCAGCUCGCAGGCCGGGCCGUGGCAUUUCAGAGCGGUUUAGAAGUAAUAUUCCGUUCGCCGGGGCCGUGAAAUAGGAGUCAUUUCUCUAUGGCCCAGCUGCUUUUCCAACCCCUGUCCCCGGCCGGGCAGUGCCUGUAAUUGACCUGCCCCGGACGGGAGGAAAGAUCUGCCCAGCCGCUGACCGGGCCUAGGGAAAGCUGGCACCGCGAGGAUCUGUGUUGCAAACCUGCUGUUGAGAUUCAGCCAUAGUCUUUGGCCCACCUGGGUGGCGGCUGGGUGACACACGGGGGGUCCGAGCUUCCUCCCACCCAGACUCAUCGUCCACUGAAACACACAGAGGAUGGGUUGAGUAACAACCGUCAACCUGCCCUGCACUCCCCCUAGCCAACCUGUUCCUCCCCAUCUCUGCUCCAGCUGAUUCUGCUCAGCGCCGAGACAGCCAGAUCAUGGUUUCCCCGGCCCCAAAACCAGUUCGGAUCCACCCUGAGAGCGACCCGACGCGGCGCGAAGUAUCUCAGCGGCACUUGGAGGGUCAGUCCUAGCUUGGGGGUCUGAGCGAGGCUAGAAUUUUUCCCAGCGUUUAACUAAAGCGCCGUGCUCCUGCUCUCUUCCCUCUCACUUUUCUUUCGAUCUAAUUAUUUUUCCUAUAAGCUCGGUCUCCUAGAGAGCAAAUAUCAGAGUCACUGAGCGAAAAUUAUGUAAAUAUUAUUAAAGGGACUCGGGCUCAGAAA